UGGGGAAUCUUGCGCAAUGCGCGAAAGCGUGACGCAGCAACGCCGCGUGGGGGAAGAAGGCCUUCGGGUUGUAAACCUCUUUCAGGAGGGACGAAGCUCCGGGAGCGAAUAGCUUUCCGGAGUGACGGUACCUUCAGAAGAAGCCCCGGCUAACUACGUGCCAGCAGCCGCGGUAAUACGUAGGGGGCAAGCGUUGUCCGGAAUCAUUGGGCGUAAAGAGCGCGUAGGCGGCUGGAAUAGUCCGGUGUGAAAUCCACAGGCUUAACCUGUGAAUGCCGCUGGAAACUGUCUGGCUAGAGUCCGGAAGGGGCGAGUGGAAUUCCUGGUGUAGCGGUGAAAUGCGCAGAUAUCAGGAGGAACACCAAUGGCGAAGGCAGCUCGCUGGGACGGUACUGACGCUGAGGCGCGAAAGCGUGGGGAGCGAACAG
rnacentral:rRNA from 1 species